rnacentral:rRNA from 1 species
AGAGUUUGAUCCUGGCUCAGAGCGAACGCUGGCGGCAGGCCUAACACAUGCAAGUCGAACGAACUCUUCGGAGUUAGUGGCGGACGGGUGAGUAACACGUGGGAACGUGCCUUUAGGUUCGGAAUAACUCAGGGAAACUUGUGCUAAUACCGAAUGUGCCCUUCGGGGGAAAGAUUUAUCGCCUUUAGAGCGGCCCGCGUCUGAUUAGCUUGUUGGUGGGGUAAUGGCCCACCAAGGCUACGAUCAGUAGCUGGUCUGAGAGGAUGACCAGCCACAUUGGGACUGAGACACGGCCCAAACUCCUACGGGAGGCAGCAGUGGGGAAUCUUGCGCAAUGGGCGAAAGCCUGACGCAGCCAUGCCGCGUGUAUGAUGAAGGUCUUAGGAUUGUAAAAUACUUUCACCGGUGAAGAUAAUGACUGUAGCCGAGAGA